GACAGCACAGUUAGGGCUGAGUUGCUCUAGAAACCAUGUUCACCUGCCAGUACUCUCAGAUUCUGUCCCUUCAACAAGAUAAGGGACUCUUGAGUUAGCUAAGCAAGAAAAUGGAAUAAGAGUGAAAGUAGGACCAGAAAAACAACAAGGACAAAUGAAUCAGAUUAGCAGCAAAAGGGUAAACAGAAAAGCAAAGCCAAAUGGCAUAUGACCAGAGUCAUUAAGAGGGAAAACAGAACAGCAUGCCUAAGAACAGAGGAGCCCAAAGCAGGAAUAACGGAAAUCAGACAUGGAGAUGGUGAAGUCUGAAGGUUGUUCUCUGCUUCCAGAGGCCCCUUGCUCACCUGGAUGCCCUUCCCCCAUCUUCUGACCAAGCAUGAUUCUUCUACCUAGAUAAAGAAGACAUGGAGAUCUUAGGGGAUGGCUAAGACCAUAUGAAAACAGCCUGGGUCCCUGCAACACAACACAGAAGACAGCCAUCUGCAACCAGAACAACUCACACUGGACUGUUUAUAGCACUAAAAUCUUGGAGUUAUUUUUUUUUAUCACAGCUACUGUUUUCCUAAAUAAUACAAUGAUGAAGAUAGCCAGGAUUAAUUUACAUACUCCAUCCCAUUUAAAGUGUUUCUCCGAUUCUGAGAGGUGGAUACAUUAUUUCUUUUAACAGUAACAAGACCAUAAAGUUGAAGGAUCAAAGGUUUGGGAAUCAUGUCCAGGGUCUCUGACUUUUCAACACAUGAUCUUAACUGCAAUGUGAUAUUUACAGGUUUGAA